CGUCGCGUCGUGACGUCAUAUUUCAAAAUGGCAGAGCCCGCGGAAAGACCCCCUGGAGUCGACUCCAUUUCCCAAGAAAAGAUGUCAACAGCGCGACUUGUAACAAUUAUAAGGCCGAGGAGGGUUAUUUGAACACACACACCAUUCAAUUAUUAUAAAUGAAAGUCACGUUUUUUAACCGCUCCGGUCUCGUCCCAGCGGAAGUGACGCUAGCACGUCAUCAGAAUACAACAGGUUGCUAGCUAACACGCCUCCUAUCAUGUCAGCGCUGUUAUUUGUUCCAAUGUCAUUCAUUCCUUCUCAUUUACAUCAACACGACGAGAGAGACAUUCUGCCGCUAGACGAAGGUCACCGAGCAGCGACGAAGUUUGCAUUUUCGGUAGAGGUCCAGGGAGCCACGAGGGCGGUGCUAAAGAGACGCGGGUUGCUGACCCCCGGCCUACACCCGAGACUGGCCGCCAGUUCAUCACAGGACACAUGAACAAGCCUUCGCCCUCAAAUCAGAGAACAUCUCCUCAUCCAGAAACAACAACACCAGAAAUGUGUCCCGUGAAAAACCGUCCGACCAGAACUCUAAUAACUAAAGUUCCUUGGGUGAAUAAUGAAAUGGCAACAGCAGAGGAUGGAUGUCCCAUAACAAGAAGGUGGAGAAAAAGAAGAAGCUUAUCGACUACGGUGUCGGCACGGACUACAAAGGCGGACCUGCACAAAUUUUCAGGUACCAGAAGGUAAGAAAAGUUUCUUUUGCAUAAUAUUGCGAAACAAAACACCAGAAAAUAUGUCUUACCUUAUACACACACCAUAAUAAUACUCCUAUGUUGAAGCACAGUACAAUCCAUCAAGCGGUGCAGUUUCAUAGCUGACCAAAGUCCUACUAAAACAUUUUGAUAGAUUUUUGAGCGCCGUGUGUAAUGUUCUAUAUUUUCAAUGGAGCAUAUACAAUGUUGGUGUUGUUUACUUGAGUCAUAUUGCGGUCUACACGAAAUCAAAUCAAAUCAAUAAUGGAGCAGCAUCUCCUCAUCCGGAAACAACCACACCGGAAAUGUGUCCCGUGAAAAACCGUUCAACCGGAACUCUCUAAUAACUAAACUUCCUUGGGUGAAUAAUGUAAACUCACUACACCGGUAUGUUUUAGCGCUUUCAUGGCAAGUUUACUGACAGAUAUAAGUGAGAAAUUGACACUACUUUAUAUUAGAAAUGGCAACAGCGGAGGAUGAAUGUCACAUAACAAGAAGAUAGAGAAAAAGAAGAAGCUUAUUAACUACAAAGGCGGACACACAAUUUUUCAGGACUCAUGCAGAUCCCAAAUACAGAUCAGCAGGUACCAGAAGUUAAGAAAAGUUGCAUAAUAUUGCGAAACAAAACGCCAGAUAAUGUCUUACCUUAUACACACACCAUAAUAAUAGUGGUAUGUUUAAUGCGCCGACAAUCCUUCAAGCGGUGCGGCUUCAUAGCUGACCAAAGUCGUGCUAAAACAUUUUGAUAGAUUUUUGAGCGCCGUGUCUAAUGUUCUAUAUUUUCAACGGAACAUUUAAAAUGUUGCUGUUGUUUACUUAAAAGCCAUCAUAGUGCAGGCUACACGUAUCUCUUAUGUUUGACUGCCAUCUACUGCUCACACUUAUAAUUACACCAUGUACCAAAUAAAAUAGCCUCGAGGUGGGUAAGCUCAACCAAACUUGUUCAUUACAUUAGGCGCAACUGUGUAAGGCGCACUGAGAAAUAAAAAAGGAUUUUAAAUGCGCCUUAUAGUCCGGAAAUUACGGUAAACGCAUUGGCCAAAAAGUGCAUUGUGUGUCCUCGCCGCGAUCUAUUUUACAUUGUUGAAAUGUCGGCAAAGCAAAUGUGAGUAUGUGAAGAACGAACCUGGAGUGAAACAGCGCACAAUUCAACGUCAAGUUCGGUCUCGAUACCUUUCAUCUUUACCAUGGAA